rnacentral:misc_RNA from 1 species
UACAGAGGGUGCAAGCGUUGUUCGGAAUCACUGGGCGUAAAGCGCGUGUAGGCGGCUCGUUAAGUCGGAUGUGAAAGCCCUUGGCUUAACCAAGGAAGUGCAUCCGAUACUGGCGAGCUUGAGUGUCGGAGGGGGUGGCGGAAUUCCCGGUGUAGAGGUGAAAUUCGUAGAUAUCGGGAGGAACACCCGUGGCGAAGGCGGCCACCUGGACGAUUACUGACGCUGAGACGCGAAAGCGUGGGGAGCAAACAGG